UGAAUAUUUAUAACUUUGAAA
rnacentral:piRNA from 1 species